rnacentral:rRNA from 1 species
AACGAACGCUGGCGGCAUGCCUAACACAUGCAAGUCGAACGAGACCUUCGGGUCUAGUGGCGCCCGGGUGCUUAACGCGUGGGAACCGGCCCUUAGGUUCGGAAUACCUCCCCGAAGGGGGUGCUAAUACCGGAUAAUGUCUUCGGCCCAAAGAUUUAUCGCCUUUGGAUGGGCCCGCGUUGGAUUAGCUAGUUGGUAGGGUAAAAGCCUACCAAGGCGACGAUCCAUAGCUGGUCUGAGAGGAUGAUCAGCCACACUGGGACUGAGACACGGCCCAGACUCCUACGGGAAGCAGCAGUGGGGAAUAUUGGACAAUGGGCGAAAGCCUGAUCCAGCAAUGCCGCGUGAGUGAUGAAGGCCUUAGGGUUGUAAAGCUCUUUUACCCGGGAUGAUAAUGACAGUACCGGGAGAAUAAGCUCCGGCUAACUCCGUG